UGACGCAGUACCCCACAAUUGGAUGCCA
rnacentral:sRNA from 1 species